AUACGUAGGGGGCGAGCGUUGUCCGGAAUGAUUGGGCGUAAAGGGCGCGUAGGCGGCGCGGUAAGUCUGGAGUGAAAGUCCUGCUUUCAAGGUGGGAAUUGCUUUGGAUACUGCCGCGCUUGAGUGCAGGAGAGGUUAUCGGAAUUCCCGGUGUAGCGGUGAAAUGCGUAGAGAUCGGGAGGAACACCAGUGGCGAAGGCGGGUAACUGAACUGCAACUGACGCUGAGGCGCGAAAGUGUGGGGAGCAAACAGGAUUAGAUACCCUGGUAGUCCACACUGUAAACGAUGAAUGCUAGGUGUAAGAGGUAUCGACCCCUUUUGUGCCGGAGUCAACACAAUAAGCAUUCCGCCUGGGGAGUACGGCCGCAAGGUUGAAACUCAAAUGAAUUGACGGGG
rnacentral:rRNA from 1 species